CAGCAUGCAGCUCUCCCAGGAGGAAUGGCCUCUCUAGGUUUCUCCCUGCUUGUCAAGAGAAGGCCUUUGUUCCCUGCUCUAGGGUUUUUGGUGUCAGCCAAAGUGGUGGUUUCAGGGGAAGCUUCCCAAUCCUUGCACCGCUGGCCAUCUAGUCUACCCAAGGAUGUGGUUGUCAGCUCCCCUCUGGGUGCCGCCAGCCUGUUUCCUUCUCUGUAACACAGGGAUAACCUUAGGUACCUCACUGGGUUACAGCCGAUGGUGAUGAAGACAUGAAGAUGAUGCCUGUGUUCUCCUUGGGAGCCUUUCUCCCAGAUGUGAAACUGAUCCUAAGACCCCCUGUAAUUUCCUGCUGAAAAUCUCCACCAAGAAACACAGCCACAGCCACAGUUCUUCCUGGUAAGAAGCCCCCAGGGCCAGGCAACAAGAAAAGUGAGCUCGUUCAGCAGGCUGGGAUGUAAAUAAGCCACAAGAGGCUGUGCCAUUCUGGGUUGCACCUGUGAGCAUCACUCAGCUGAAGCCCCAUCAGCGUUUCCAUGACAAACUCGUAUUUCCGGAUGCCUUUCUUCCAGCUUGAAGAGCCUGCCUCGUGGUUGUGAAAAGUGAAAAAGAAAAUCUAAAAAAGACAAAUGGAGAAGGAACAGCUAGUGAAGUCAGAGGAAGAUUGGAAGACCCUGGUGUCCUGGAAGCAACUGAAGAAAGUGUUUCAAGAAGAAAGGAGUGAUCACAUGACUUAAAAUGCCACCGAUGGGUCAAAUAAGAACAGAGAAUUGACCAUGGAAUCUGUCAACACAGAAGUCAUCAGUGGCCUUGAUAAAUGUAGUUUCACUGCCAUGUGGGGGAAAAAUGAUGUCAUCAGCUGAAAGUGAGAAGCAAGGAGAACUGCGUGCAGGCCUGAAAAGAAAGGAGGCGUGAUGCAGUCAUCUGCCAGAGGGAGUAGGAGAGGCGACUUGCCUGGGGAAAACAGUGUAGGAUUGCUGGGCAGCAAUAUGGCAGCAAUGUGGUCCUCUGAGGUCAGUGGUGAUGAAUUUAAAGGGAAACCUUUCAGUACAGCUCUGUGUUUUUCUCCAGCCACCUUUAACACCUGGAGUGCAGGCAUUAAAUAGCUAAAAGUCACAUUUGACAAGUGUUGAUUUUGCUAGGCCUAUAGGUUGGGAGAGAGAAGGUCAGAAUGGUUGUCAUUGUUAUCUAUUGCUGUGAAACACAUGACUCCAACACAAUUACUCCCAAACAACAAAUAUUUAUUACCUCAUAGUUUCUGUGGGUCACAGUUUGGAAUUUGGAAGCAGCUCAGGCUGGGCAGUUCUGGCUUGGGGUCUUUCACGAGGCUGCAGUCAAAUGUUACCUCAGGUUACAGUCAUCUAAAAGCUUGUAUAGGGCUGGAGGAUCUGCUUCCAGGGUGGUGCACUCACAUGGCUGGCAAGUCAGUAGUGGUGGUUGGUGGACAACUCAGUUCCUCUACAGGCUGUCAGAGUGUACUUACAGCCUGACAACCAGCUUCUCCCAGAGCUACCAGUCCAAGAGGGAGACCUAAUCAGAAGCUAUCCUUCUUUGACCUAUGCUCAGAAGUGACAUUGCGUUCCUUUUGCUGCAUUAUAUUUGUUAAAAGCAAGUCACUAAGUCCAGUCCACAUUCAAGGGGAGGGGAAUUAGACUCCACCUUUUGGAGGGAGUAGUGUUGUUAUGGACUGAAUGUUUAUGUCUGCCCCCGCCACAAAUUCCCGUGUUGGAGCCCUAACCCAUAGUAUGGCUCUAUUUGGAGAUGGGGCCUCUAAGAAACAAAUUAAUGUUAAAUAAGAUCAUAAUGUUAAAUAAGAUCAUAAAGCUCUGAUCCAAUAGAAUUCAUCUCCUUUUAAGAAGAGACACCAAAUAGCUUGCUGUCUCUCUCUCUGUGCUCACACACCAAGGAACGGCCACGUGAGGACACAGCAAGAAAGUAGCCAUCUACAAUUCAGGAAGAGUCUUCACCAGAAACCAAAUUGGACAGAAUCUUGGUCUUAGACUACUAGUCUCCAGAGCUGUGAGAAAAAAAAAAUCCAUGCUCAAGCCACCCACUCUAUAGCAUUUCGUUAUGGCAGCCAAGCUGAUGAGUACAAGCAUCAAAGAACUUGCAGACAUAUUUUAAUGUCACUACAAGGCCCCAGGGUUUAUGUAAGUAUAUUUAUCAUGCUGGACCAUGGAUUAUAAGCUGAGAAGUGAGGGAGGUGACAGCAUGGAGGAAUGCGUGAGUGAAAGGACUGGGGAACCAGUGUGUGGAAGGAAGUUCUCUGAGGGGAAGAGUGUAGGAGUGGGUGUACAAGGGAAGCAAGUUGAACAGAUAUGAGGUAGUGGUCAGAGAAAGCUGCUUGAAAUGGAGAUCUUGGACAUGGCACAGUUACUGCUGGUGAUAAGAUCUAGCAUUAGAUGAUGGGAGUGGGCAGCUGAGGCAGGCAGGGAGGGACAGGUCACUGGUGGUGAGAAGAUUAAUUAACUGGAGGCAGAAUGUUGGAGGGGUCAUCUAAUAGACACGGACCAGGAAUGAUGCUGAGUAUGGUGAUGAACAGACUGAUAGUGAGCCAGGUGCUCAUGUCUUUCACAAAUGGGGGAGUGAUGGGGAGAGAGUAGAUGAUUGCCACAGGGAGCAGUAGCAGGACAGAGCCUGACAGCCAGUGAGACACAAAGGGACAGUCCAGGUUUUAAUUGAGGGGGUGGGAGUUACUACUGGGUUGGCUAUUAAGGAGCCAUAUGCACAACCAAGUUAGGAGGAGAAGCAGAGGAUCUGAGUGCAUGCGUAUGCACACACACACACAAAUGCAUGUGCAUGGCAGAUGGUAAUAGCAUGUAUCUCAUAGGGCUGUUAAAAGGACCAACUGAGCUAAUACUUAGUGCUAAGACAGUGCCUGUGUGGGGUGUUUUCUGACACCAACCAACUCUCCAACAUCAACUGGGUGUCCAGCAAUUCAAUUCAAUUCAGUUCUGACACUACCGGGAGUUAGCAUCAGUUCCCACAAGUUAAAGGGAUCAAUCCCCCCACUUCCAGUGCCAGCUGCAAAUAACAAGCUACCCACACUUCUGCCCAGAUGACUACAAAUUUAGGCAUCCCCACACCACCCCCGAAGAGGUUCAGUAAUUUAUUAGGACAACUUGCAUUUAUUGGUUUAUUAUAAAGGAUACAAAUAAACAGCCAGAUAAAGAGCUACACAGGGCAAGAUCUGAAUGGAUGCCGAGUAUAGAAGCCUCUGUCUUCUGCAUUCACCAACCUUGGAACUCUUUGAAUUUCUUUGUUCAAAAGAUUUUCUGACCCAAUCUCCAGCCCUCCUCCGCCUCCAGGAAUUGGGGGUGGUGGGGAGAGUGAGGCUGAAAGUUCCUACCCUCUUCCCUCUAAUCGUGGUCUUUCUGGUGGUCAGCCCCCAUCUUGAAGCUCUCUAGGGACCCCAUCCUGGGCCAUCUCAUGAGCAUAAACUCAGGUGUGGUUUAAAGAGGCUCCUUAUCAAUAACAAAAAAUCACUCUGGAAAUUCCAAGGGUUCUAGGAGCUCUGUAUCAGGAACUGGGCAUGAAAACCAAAUUUUGUUUUUUUGUUUUUUUGAGACUGAGUCUCACCCGGUCGCCCAGGCUGGAGUGU
rnacentral:lncRNA from 1 species